rnacentral:rRNA from 1 species
GCGAAAGUCUUCGGACGAGUAAAGCGGCGAAAGGGUGAGUAACACGUAACCAACGUACCCUUCAGAUCGGGAUAACCACUGGAAACGGUGGGUAAUACCGAAUGGUCCUACAGCUAGGCAUCUAGUCGGACGGUAAACGGCGGCUUCGGCUGCUGCUGAGGGAGCGGGUUGCGGCCUAUCAGCUAGUUGGUGGGGUAAUGGCUUACCAAGGCGAUGACGGGUAGCGGGUCUGAGAGGAUGAUCCGUCACACUGGGACUGAGACACUGCCCAGACUCCUACGGGAGGCUGCAGUCGAGAAUCUUCCACAAUGCCCGAAAGGGUGAUGGAGCGACGCUGCGUGUAGGAUGAAGGCCUUAGGGUUGUAAACCACUGUCGGGAGUUAGGAAAUGCGUGGUCGUUAAUAGCGGCUACGCUGACCAAAGCGACAGAGGAAGCCCGGCUAACUCCGUGCCAGCAGCCGCGGUAAUACGGAGGGCGCAAGCGUUGUUCGGAAUCACUGGGCAUAAAGAGCAUGUAGGCGGUCUUUUAAGUCGGAUGUGAAAGCCUUCCGCUUAACGAAGAACUGCAUUCGAUACUGAUUGACUCGAGGACAGGAGGGGAGAGUGGAACUUCAGGUGGAACGGUGAAAUGUGUAGAUAUCUGAAGGAACACCGGUGGCGAAAAGCGGCUCACUGGUCCGAAACUGACGCUGAGAUGCGAAAGCUAGGGUAGCAAACGGGAUUAGAUACCCCGGUAGUCCUAGCCGUAAACGAUGGGCACUAGGCAAUGGGAUUUCCCUAUGGUUCUCAUUGCCGUAGCUAACGCAUUAAGUGCCCCGCCUGGGGAGUACGCUCGCAAGGGUAAAACUCAAAGGAAUUGACGGGGGAUCACACAAGCGGUGGAGCAUGUGGUUUAAUUCGAAGCAACGCGAAGAACCUUACCUGGCCUUGACAUGUACGGAUUAGCAUCCUGAAAGGGUGACAGCUCUUCGGAGUCGGAACGUAUGCAGGUGUUGCAUGGCUGUCGUCAGCUCGUGUCGUGAGAUGUUGGGUUAAGUCCCGUAACGAGCGAAACCCUUGUCGUUAGUUGCUAACGGGUAAUGUCGGGGACUCUAACGAGACUGCUGUUGUAAAACGGAGGAAGGUGGGGACGACGUCAAGUCAUCAUGGCCCUUGUGGCCAGGGCGACACACGUGCUACAAUGGUCUAUACAAAGGGUUCCAAGACCGCGAGGUUUAGGCAAUCCCAUAAAGCCGAUCUCAGUUCAGAUUGCAGGCUGAAAUUCGCCUGCAUGAAGUUGGAAUCGCUAGUAAUCGCAGAUCAGCCACGCUGCGGUGAAUGUGUUCCCG